UGUAACUACAUUACUUCUUCAAGGAAAGAGAGGCGGCGGUGAGAUUCAUUAACGCACCCAGACGAACUCCGCCGAGCCCUCGCACAGGUUUUUCUGCUGGAAGUACUUGUUGCUGGGCUAUGCUGCUUCCAUGAAAACUACAACCAAGUCCAAGAAUAAGAGUGUUCAACAAGCAAAAAAUCUUAUCUCAGUUCCGAUGACUUCUCAGCUGAUGACGAUGAGUUUCUGCAAUUAAGAGGGACGUGUGCCUUCUCUCCUACGUGGAAGCCUUUGGCUACUCCCUUGAUGAUUGCUUCCACCGGUGUCUAGUUUGGCACAUACAGUUCCUUGCAGUCCCUCAUCUUUUAAAUAUCCAAUGUUUAUAUAUUGUAUAUCUCCACUGGCAUGAGGAAGGGGGAUUUAAAGGAAAUUAAGUGAAAAAACAGACAUUUCCCAAACUGGAGUUCAAAAAAUGCUAAAGAUAUACAGAAAAUGGGACUCUAAACAACUGUGCAAGACCUGGUAGACCACCAACCCUGUCAUCAUCAGAUACU